ACAUUUGCAGGCUUGAGGAGCAAGGCAUGUGGUGGAAGAGGUCCUAAACAGUAUGCUUGUCAGUUAUAGCUCAAUAAAGAAACAAAGAUCUCAGUAUAUAACACAGCUAUAAUCAUUUGUCAGGUCUCAGACCUGAGACACAGGGCCUCUGCUUCUAGGACAAGGCACACAGCCAUUUGGGUUGACAUGGUCCAUGGUCCAAUGACACCGGCAAAGGAAACAUUCUUUAAAGACCCUCCACCUGGGCUGGGACCUGGUUUAUAUGAGAAAUUCUCUUUCAUGUUUCUUUCCUAAAUUUUUUACAUGAUUAAGGCUCCUCAGGGAACACUGACUAUCUGAAAGGAAAAGAAAAACAUUUAACAAUUCCAAAGGAACCUCUAAGAAAAGUGUUGAUUACAUCAUAAUCACCAUGGUUCCACUAACUCCGGGACAAACUCUUUCGUGCAAAAGACACCAAACUCAUAUUCUUGGUGUAGAUGCCUUUGUGACGCUGCUCACCUUUUCCCCUGAAGGUGUCAAGUGAUCUCUACCAUAAACUCUACCCACCCUUCUGCAUGGCUGCUCAUGUAUCUUGACUAAAUUCUCUCAUCUAAGGCACAAGGGACCAAGGACCCAGCUUCCUCGUGGCAGCAGAGGUAAAACCAAGGUCUCUAGGUUCUCAGCAGCCUGUCUGUACCCACCCCUGAGGAUUAUAACCUUCUGCACAUUUGUUGGGUCCUUUCAUUCACUCUAGCAAAUUUAAUCUUCCAGACCCUAGAGAUUAAUAACAAACCCAAAACCUUUUCGGAAACCUGCAGAGUAAUGAGGCCUGAGCUACAUUCUGGGGAUACUUCGGUUGCUUUGAUCAGGCAGAUGGUGUUCAGAAGGUGUGCGCUACAUCUGGGACCAGCAGUGUUCCCCGAUCUUCUCUCUUCACUUCUCCAGGCAGAGUUUUCAUAAGGACAGCUUGGAGCUCAGGGACCCCAGAGUAUCCUGGCGACUGUGCUGGUAGAGAAGGGGAAGAAGAAAUGCUGUGUGUUAUUGCUCACCUGGAUCUGUGAAUUAGUGGCCCUGUGGUCUACAAGGCUUGCAGGAGAGAAAACUUGGGUACACGUUCAGCAGAAAUUGAGGAGAAGGAUUUUGGGAUACUCCAGAUUCAAUAAAACAAGCAGUACUUUGGUACCUGGAAAUUGUUCGGAGCCCUCGG
rnacentral:lncRNA from 1 species